AGAAGACUGAGAAUUCAGCCCUAGAGAAUUCAGCUCUGGUUGUGAGUGCCUCUUUUCCAGGGCAGAGACUUCUGGAAAAGCAGAUGGAGCCUUGUGGAAUGGGGCUCUCUGCCUCAUCUGGGGAGUGACUCUCGAUUCCCCUCACCUGUCCCUCCCAUCACACCUGGGCUUCUUUGCGGUGACAGGGGCAUAGCAACCAUCCUGAUGUUGGAGUAUUUCCUUCUUGCUCAUGUUUCUAUGAUUACUACACAGGUUUGUAUAUCAGUAUGGCAGGUAAAGUGGAAGUUUCAGCUGAGGCACCCAGACAACAGAUGAGAUGUGAGGUCCCAUUGGAGGAUUUAUGAAGGAAGACCAGCUGAAGAAUCCUUAACCCUCAUCCACCAUGAGAGUAUAAAUGAGUCAGAGAUUCGAGAUUUGAGGAGGAUUUAUGGCAUCAGCUCCUGUUAGUGAGCUCCAAGGUGCAUGCUCUCCGAAGGGGAGAGGUCAGAGGGGUCUGCCUCCCACCUCAAGCCUGGAUGAGCAUCCCCUGCACUUUAGGCUGUUCAGGGGAUUAGUGCCGGACUCUCACUUGAGAAAUCUAAAGGGUGGUGAUAUGAUUUGGCUGUGUCCCUCCUCAACUCUCAUCUCAAAUUGUAAUCCAAAUGACAAUCCCCAUAUAUUGAGGGAGGGACCUGGUGGGAGGUGGUUGGAUCAUGGGGGCUGUUUUCCCCAUGCUGUUCUUGUGAUAGUGAGUGUGUUCUCAUGAGAUCUGGUUGUUUGAUAAAUGUCUGGUUCUUCCUCCUCCUCUCUCUCUCGCUGACCUCCAUGUAAGACAUGCCUUGCUUCCCCUUCAUCUUCUGCCAUGAUUGUAAGUUUCCUGAGGCCUCUCCAGCCAUGCAGAACCGUGAGUCAAUUAAACUUCUUUUUUUUUUUUGAGAUGGAGUUUCACUCUUGUUGCCCAGGCUGGAGUGCAACGGUGCGAUCUCAGCUCACCGCAACCUCUGCCUCCUGUGUUCAAGCAAUUCUCCUGCCUCAGCCUCCCAAGUAGCUGGGAUUACAGGAAUCCACCACCAACCUGGCUAAUUUUGUAUUUUUAGUAGAGAUGGGUUUCUCCAUGUUGGUUAGGCUGGUCGUGAACUCCCGACUUCAGGUGAUCUGCCUGCCUUGGCCUCCCAAAGUGCUGGGAUUACAGGCGUGAGCCACAUUGCCCAGCAAUUAAACUUCUUUUGUUUAAUUGUUUAAUUGUUUAAUUGUUUAAUUACCCAGUCUCAGGUAGUAUCUUUAUGGAUUAAUGCAGGUGGUCACUGGCUGACCAGGUACUUUAAAGAUGGAACUAAGGUAGAUGGCUUCACUGGGGGGCUCCCUGUACUCCCAUAGUUUGCUGUAGUGAAGAACAUGAGAUCAGUUGUGCCUGAAGUGCAAGAGAACUGCAUAGGAUCUUCUAGAGCCCACAGAGAAGAUGGCCUGGGGAGAGGGAUAAAGAGACUUCUGCAGAUAGAAGCUGGGGACAUUCCCGAUUCUCAGGGCUGUGGAGGGAGUCAGUGACCAGCUGGAUAAGACAUGCACUGGCCAUUAUCAGGAGACUGGGAGCUCUAAAGAUCCCUGAAGACCCUGAAAACUCAUGGCAGCAUCCAUGAGAGUCACCUUUAACCAUUUCCUAGGCUACAGAGGAUGAUGCCUGUAUUGGUCAAGCGAGAACUUCCUGCCCCUUUUCCUUCCUCUCCCUUCUCUGACCUGGAAGGGUCAGAAACUAGGGUUGGCAAGGUGGGGGAGGAGUCAGCCUCUUUCUUCACUGGAUGGCUCCUCUGUAGCUGGCCUGAGCUGCAUGUUUUGUAAGCAUUCCCUCCCCUCC
rnacentral:lncRNA from 1 species